rnacentral:rRNA from 1 species
UAAGGAAUAUUGGUCAAUGGAGGCAACUCUGAACCAGCCAUGCCGCGUGCAGGAAGACAGCCCUCUGGGUCGUAAACUGCUUUUAUUCGGGAAUAAACCUAUUUACGUGUAAAUAGCUGAAUGUACCGAAGGAAUAAGGAUCGGCUAACUCCGUGCCAGCAGCCGCGGUAAUACGGAGGAUCCAAGCGUUAUCCGGAUUUAUUGGGUUUAAAGGGUGCGUAGGCGGCUUAUUAAGUCAGGGGUGAAAGACGGUGGCUCAACCAUCGCAGUGCCCUUGAUACUGAUGAGCUUGAAUACACUAGAGGUAGGCGGAAUGUGACAAGUAGCGGUGAAAUGCAUAGAUAUGUCACAGAACACCGAUUGCGAAGGCAGCUUACUAUGGUGUGAUUGACGCUGAGGCACGAAAGCGUGGGGAUCAAACAGGAUUAGAUACCCUGGUAGUCCACGCCCUAAACGAUGAAUACUCACUGUUAGCGAUAC